rnacentral:rRNA from 1 species
CGCAUCUGUGCAUGCAGCAUAUCAAUAAGCGGAGGAAAAGAAACUAACAAGGAUUCCCCUAGUAACGGCGAGUGAAGCGGGAAGAGCUCAAAUUUGAAAUCUUAAAGGGUUUCCCUUUACGAAUUGUAGUUUAAAGAAGUGUUUUCUGUUGAGGUUUUGGUAAAAGUUCUUUGGAAUAGGACAUCAUAGAGGGUGAGAAUCCCGUAUUUGACCUUUACUUUCAACUUUGUGAUACACUUUCAAAGAGUCGGAUUGUUUGGGAAUGCAGUCCAAAAUGGGUGGUAAAUUUCAUCUAAAGCUAAAUAUUGGCGAGAGACCGAUAGCGAACAAGUACCGUGAGGGAAAGAUGAAAAGAACUUUGAAAAGAGAGUUAAACAGUACGUGACAUUGUCAAAAGGGAAGCGUUUGACACCAGUGUUGUUUUUCUGAAAAUCAAUUAAAGAACUGUUUAUGCUAAGCUUGUUUAGACUUUAUCAGCUAACUGUUUAGUUUUGAGCUUUUCUUUAAUGCACUUUUCAGUUAACAAGUCAACAUCAAUUUCUUUUGCUGUAAAAAAGCUUGAGGAAGGUGGCUUGAGAUUCGUCUUAAGUGUUUAUAGCCUCUUGCCUAUGCAGUCGGAGAGAUUGAGGUCUGCAGCGUAGAUCCUUCGGGGCUAAAUGCAUUUGUGCUAAGUUAUAACAUUUCAUAGACAACUUGUUGACUAUGAUUUGUCUUGUAGCUUACUCGCUUAUGUUAUUUUACCUACGCUUAGGAUGUUGACAGCAGUAUAGACUGU